GUGUUCAAAGAAAUUCCAUUUUAUUAUUAAGUACUUUUCAAGUUUACAAUUUGCAAUUGGUAGAUCUUAGAAGUGCUUCUUUAUUUAUGACUUCUUUUGCAGUCUUUGUGAACAUUUUAAUGUGUACUAAAUGCUAACAUUUUACAUAGACAUACUGUAUAUUAAUGCAUGCAUUUCACUGCAUAGUUUAUUGACACUCCCCUUGUAAAGCUUUUAUGGAAGAAACAAUAAGCCACGGCAGUAUAGCAAAAGAGGCUUAAUCUUUAUAAAUUGGGGCCUUUUCUGCCUCUUUGCUAGCUUAGGUGGCUGUAUACAAAUUUGGGUGGGAGGGGCUGGAAACACCUCUUACCAUUUAAGGUUUUCUACAUGGUGAACUCUAGCCAAUUCGAAACAAAUUGCUUACUUUAAUAAAAAAUUUUACCAUUUUAUAAAAAGAUAAUCAUGACAUGUUUAAUUGAAAUGGCUGUGUUGUAAUUAAUAUUUUGAGAUAAUUGUGAUUUUGAGCUUAAAUUAUAUAUAAAAAUUGUCAUUUUUGUAUGUGUUAAAAAAAAACUACUGUAUCACAACAGUACUUUUUAGUUGAACUACAUAUUGAUGUAAAUAAAAACUGAAUGAAGACAUAUUUACAACUUUAUUAACAUAGAUUGUGAAUGUAGUUAAUGGGUUUUUUUUUGCUGUAUGAGACCAUGACAACCUUGAAAGCUGCUUCAUUUUAUGUGCAAAGAACUCCUAUGGAUCUAUAUUUUAAAUUUACUGAAUCAAUGAAGUU
rnacentral:lncRNA from 1 species